GACGUAGGGCGCAAGCGUUGUCCGGAUUUAUUGGGCGUAAAGAGCUCGUAGGCGGCUUGUUGCGUCGACCGUGAAAACCCGCGGCUCAACUGCGGGCUUGCGGUCGAUACGGGCAGGCUGGAGUUCGGUAGGGGAGACUGGAAUUCCUGGUGUAGCGGUGAAAUGCGCAGAUAUCAGGAAGAACACCAAUGGCGAAGGCAGCUCUCUGGGACGGUACUGACGCUGAGACGCGAAAGCGUGGGGAGCGAACAGG
rnacentral:rRNA from 1 species